AACAAACAACAUAUGUAAUAUUCUGUAAAUACAUGUUGAAAAAAUAAACCUUUCUUGUGAUUUUCUCUUUCCUAGCGGCGAACCCGUGUCCGAGACCAACGUGCUCCCACAAUGAACAACUAAAUUGUAGAGGGCAGCACGACUUUUGCAACUGUAGAUGCAGUGAACCUGCACCGCAGCCUCUACCAUGCACCUUUGGAACAGGCAUUACUGAUGAAACCGAACCUGCUGAUACAGAAUUCCCGGGAAUGGUGUCCUGCCCAAAAAUUAGUUGCGCCUGCGGAGAAAAGGCCACCUGAUUAAAUAAAGGAAGCUCCUGUGCAUGUACAUGUGGUAAGUGC
rnacentral:lncRNA from 1 species